CAAAAGAAAUCUAGUGAAGGGGUGAGAAGACUUGGUGCAUUCUGUUUGAGUGAUUGAAAGGGAAGCAUCCAUUUUAAUGGUGCGUAGCAGAGUUACUUUAAUCGUUUAGUUAAUAUAACAAAGCCAGGUAUUCAAUGGGUUCCGUUAGCCGAAAGUGGAUGACGAAAUGUUUUGUGCCAAUAAAAAUUCUGCAACAAGCUAUAAAAGGAGCGUUGGCCAAGGAUUUAGAGGACCCGGACAAAGGUUUAAGAACGGCGAUGUCUAACGUUAAAAAUAAGCUUACGAAGCAAAA